UCCGUAGGUGAACCUGCGGAAGGAUCAUUAAAGUAGUAUUUGCCCUCGCGGGUAGAGACGCCACCCUUGUAUAACCUAUGAUUGUUGCUUUGGCGGACCGCCUUCGGGCCCUGGCUUCGGCUGGGAUGUGUCCGCCAGAGGACCCCAAACUCUGAAUGUUAGUGUCGUCUGAGUACUAUUCAAUAGUUAAAACUUUCAACAACGGAUCUCUUGGUUCUGGCAUCGAUGAAGAACGCAGCGAAAUGCGAUAAGUAAUGUGAAUUGCAGAAUUCAGUGAAUCAUCGAAUCUUUGAACGCACAUUGCGCCCCUUGGUAUUCCGGGGGGCAUGCCUGUUCGAGCGUCAUUUAAACCAAUCCAGCUCGCUGGGUCUUGGGCUUUCGCCUCUGGGCGGGCCUCAAAAUUAGUGGCGGCACCGCCAGGCUCUAAGCGUAGUAAAAUAUCUCGCUACAGGGUCCUGACGGAUGCUGGCCAGCAACCCCCAAUUUUCUAGGUUGACCUCGGAUCAGGUAGGGAUAC
rnacentral:rRNA from 1 species